UAUAUUAUUAAACUAUUAUGUAAUGGCGGUCUAGUUAAUUUAGAGAAACUCGCUUUAUAAUCGACAAUACCCGAUAAAUUUCACUUAAAUUCCAAAAAUUCAUAUACCGCCGUUACAGUAUUAUAUAAUAACAAUAACAUUAAAUAUACACCAUUAUAAAAAAUCAGGUCAAGGUGUGGUAAUACUUAAGAUCAAGUAAGUUACAAUAAAAAUAAUUUAAGGAAUAAUCCUAAACAAUAAAGGAAAAAGAAAAAGAAUUUAUAUGUACAAAUUAAUUAAAAU
rnacentral:rRNA from 1 species